GGUAGACACUGCCUAAGGGGUGGGGAAGAGCAUUGCUCUGAAGUCUCUCCAACUAGGGAAAAAUAUUUUAACAUCUUAAGAGCUCUAAUAUACCCAUCUGAAUGCGGACUUCCAAAGAAUAGCAAGGAGAGAUGAGAAAGCCUUCCUCGGUGAUGAAUGCAAAGAAAUAGAGAAAACAAUAGAAUGGGAAAGACUAGAGAUCUCCUCAAGAAAAUAAGAGAUACCAAGGGAACAUUUCAUGCAAAGAUGGACACAAUAAAGGACAGAAACAGUAUGGACCUAACAGAAGCAGAAGACUAGAAACGUGGCAAGAUACACAGAAGAACUAUACAAAAAAGAUCUUAACAACCCAGAUAACCUCGAUGGUGUGAUCACUCACCUAGAGCCAGACAUCCUGGUAUUCGAAGUCAAGUGGGCCUUAGGAAGCAUCACUAUGAACAAAGCUAGUGGAGGUGAUGGAAUUCCAGUUGAACUAUUUCAAAUCCUUAAAAAUGAUGCCGUGAAAGUGCUGCACUCAAUAUGCCAGCAAAACUGGAAAACUCAGCAGUGACCACAGGACCGGAAAAGGUCAGUUCUCAUUCCAAUUCCAAAGAAAGGCAAUGCCAAAGAAUGCUCAAACUACCACACAAUUACACUCAUCUCACGAUAGCAAAGUAUUGCUCAAACUUCUCCGAGCCCAGUUUCAACAGUUCAUGAACCAAGAACUUCCAGAUAUUCAAGCUGGUUUUAGAAAAGGCAGAGGAACCAGAUAUCAAAUUGCCAACAUCCACUGGAACAUAGAAAAAGCAAGAGUUCCAGAAAAACAUCUGCUAUAUUGACUACGCCAAAGCCUUGACUGUGUGGAUCACAACAAACUGGAAAAUUCUUAAAGAGAUGGGAAUACCAGACCACCUGACCUGCCUCCUGAGACAUCAGUAUGAAAGUCAAGAAGCAACAGUUAGAACUGGAUAUGGAACAACGGACUGGUUCCAAAUUGGGAAAGGAGUACAUCAAGGCUGUAUAUUGUCACCUUGCUUAUUUAACUUAUAUCCAGAGU
ensembl:lncRNA